GAUGAACGCUGGCGGCGUGCCUAAUACAUGCAAGUCGAGCGAACGGACGAGAAGCUUGCUUCUCUGAUGUUAGCGGCGGACGGGUGAGUAACACGUGGAUAACCUACCUAUAAGACUGGGAUAACUUCGGGAAACCGUAGCUAAUACCGGAUAAUAUUUUGAACCGCAUGGUUCAAAAGUGAAAGACGGUCUUGCUGUCACUUAUAGAUGGAUCCGCGCUGCAUUAGCUAGUUGGUAAGGUAACGGCUUACCAAGGCAACGAUGCAUAGCCGACCUGAGAGGGUGAGCGGACACAAUGGAACUGAGAGAAGGGAGAGAGUCGGACGGGAGGGAGCAGCAGGGAAUAUUGGACAAUGGGCUAAAGAAGUAAGAAGCAAUACAGAGGGAAGGAUGAAGGACUGAGGAUUGGAAAAUACUGUUAUUGGGAAAGAAAAGAAGCAUACGAAACUAUACACGUCCGGAAGGGACCUAAUGAGCAAGAAACGGCUAGCCUAGGG
rnacentral:rRNA from 1 species